UCUACAGCUAUAUCACCCUGAAUGUGCCUGACUUUAUCUGAUCUCAGAAGCUAAGCAGGGUUGGGCCUGGUUAGUACUUGUAUAGGAGAACACCCAGAGCAGAUAAAU
rnacentral:rRNA from 1 species